GAUGAACGCUGGCGGCGUGCCUAACACAUGCAAGUCGAACGGGACUGAUUGAAAGAUCUUUUCGGAGUGAUUUCUUUUAGUUUAGUGGCGGACGGGUGAGUAACGCGUGGAUAACCUGCCUUUCACAGGGGGAUAGCAGCUGGAAACGGCUGGUAAUACCGCAUACGCUCAUGUCACCGCAUGGUGAUAUGAGGAAAGAUUUAUCGGUGAAAGAUGGAUCCGCGUCUGAUUAGCCAGUUGGCGGGGUAACGGCCCACCAAAGCGACGAUCAGUAGCCGGCCUGAGAGGGCGGACGGCCACAUUGGGACUGAGACACGGCCCAGACUCC
rnacentral:rRNA from 1 species